UGACACUUCACGAAAUGCCCCUGUUUUGGCUGUUCUUUUCACAGUGAUAGCACCUGGGAGACCUUCUCCAGACCCCAAGGCUCUCUGGUGCUGCGUGCUGCACCAGUCCUACCAGAACCGAGGAGCUUAUUGUAUGAUGAAGGGCCCCAGACAUUUAUCUUCUGUUUCUGUUGAUGGACUGAAUAAGCUGCUGACCAGUCUUAUCAAUUGAAGUAAAUGGCAAGACCCCCUUUAGCUUCCGUGAUUCAAAUGGAGCCUAGUAAGUGCUACAGAGUCCAGAUGUUCUGCAGCUGUUAAUCUCCCAGAAUUCAUCUCCCAUGGCAGAAGCCUAAUCCACAGAAAAGAGUAAUGCCAUUCCUACAUGACUGUUGGGUGGAACACUUGCCUGGGCAUGUGAAGAUUUGAGUCUGAGUUACAGUGGAACACAUAACUAAUAGAGUAGGCAAAACAUUUUUCAAAUAAACUGAAAUACUUGGAAACUUUCUAAGUUUCUAAUUCAUAAGUGAACUGGCAACCACUAGGAAGUGAUAUAUAUCAAUAUCUACUAUACUGUUUGCAGCUACUUCUAGUCAUGGAAUCAUAGAAUCAUAGAAUGGUUUGGGUUGGAAGGGGCCUUUAAGAUCAUCUAGGUCCAGCCUCCCUGUUAUAGGCGGGGACACCUCCAUCUUGACCAGGUUGCUCACAGCUCCAUCCAGCCUGGCCUUGAAUGCUUCCAGGGAGGGGG
ensembl:lncRNA